CUACUUAGUAAUACUUUCAGAAACUAUUUUGACAAAAUUUGGAAGUGUGAUGUACUAAACGUUAAUAGAUUCCUACAGAGCAGUUUUUAACUAUAUAACUGGAAAAGCCCCCCUAGCCUGCGUGUCAGGCUCUUUCUUGAAAUAGAGCCUGUUACUGAAGUCAAUAAAAAGUGGACAAUAAUUUGGAUGUACGAAAAUAACAACCAAUCCAAACGGCGAAUGUUAAUUAGAUUAUCAAAGCUAAUUUAAAAUAUGGUACCCGGACAUUUUGCCGAAAGACACUUUGCCGAA